rnacentral:rRNA from 1 species
ACGUAGGGUGCAAGCGUUGUCCGGAAUUAUUGGGCGUAAAGAGCUCGUAGGCGGUUUGUCGCGUCUGCUGUGAAAACGCGAGGCUCAACCUCGCGCCUGCAGUGGGUACGGGCAGACUAGAGUGCGGUAGGGGAGAUUGGAAUUCCUGGUGUAGCGGUGGAAUGCGCAGAUAUCAGGAGGAACACCGAUGGCGAAGGCAGAUCUCUGGGCCGUUACUGACGCUGAGGAGCGAAAGCGUGGGGAGCGAACAGGAUUAGAUACCCUGGUAGUCCACGCCGUAAACGUUGGGAACUAGAUGUGGGGUCCAUUCCACGGAUUCCGUGUCGCAGCUAACGCAUUAAGUUCCCCGCCUGGGGAGUACGGCCGCAAGGCUA